CAGCCGCCGCGGUAAUACGUAGGGUGCGAGCGUUAAUCGGAAUUACUGGGCGUAAAGCGUGCGCAGGCGGCUUUGCAAGACAGAUGUGAAAUCCCCGGGCUCAACCUGGGAACUGCAUUUGUGACUGCAAGGCUAGAGUACGGUAGAGGGGGAUGGAAUUCCGCGUGUAGCAGUGAAAUGCGUAGAUAUGCGGAGGAACACCAAUGGCGAAGGCAAUCCCCUGGACCUGUACUGACGCUCAUGCACGAAAGCGUGGGGAGCAAACAGGAUUAGAUACCCUGGUAGUCCACGCCCGAAACGAUGUCAACUGGUUGUUGGACGGCUUGCUGUUCAGUAACGAAGCUAACGCGUGAAGUUGACCGCCUGGGGAGUACGGCCGCAAGGUUGAAACUUAAAGGAAUUGGCGGG
rnacentral:rRNA from 1 species